rnacentral:rRNA from 1 species
GAUGAACGCUAGCGGCAGGCUUAAUACAUGCAAGUCGAGGGGCAGCACGAAUAGCAAUAUUUGGUGGCGACCGGCGCACGGGUGCGUAACACGUAUACAACCUACCUAUAACAGGGGGAUAGCCUUUCGAAAGAGAGAUUAAUACCCCGUAAUAAAUUGAGUGGCAUCACUUGAUUUUGAAAGCUACGGCGGUUAUAGAUGGGUAUGCGUCUGAUUAGCUAGUUGGUGAGGUAACGGCUCACCAAGGCGACGAUCAGUAGGGGAUCUGAGAGGACUAACCCCCACACUGGUACUGAGACACGGACCAGACUCCUACGGGAGGCAGCAGUAAGGAAUAUUGGUCAAUGGAGGCAACUCUGAACCAGCCAUGCCGCGUGCAGGAUGACGGCCUUAGGGUUGUAAAGCUCUUUUAGCAGGGACGAUAAUGACGGUACCUGCAGAAAAAGCCCCGGCCAACUUCGUGCCAGCAGCCGCGGUAAUGUCUGUACU